CCUACGGGUGGCAGCAGUGAGGAAUAUUGGUCAAUGGUCGGGAGACUGAACCAGCCAAGCCGCGGGAGGGAGGAAGGUACAGAGUAUCGUAAACCUCUUUUGUCAGGGAACAAAGGCGGGGACGUGUCCCCGGAUGAGUGUACCUGAAGAAAAAGCAUCGGCUAACUCGGUGCCAGCAGCCGCGGUAAUACGGAGGAUGCGAGCGGUAUCCGGAUUUAUUGGGUUUAAAGGGUGCGCAGGCGGUCUGUUAAGUCAGCGGUAAAAGCCCGGGGCUCAACCCCGGCCCGCCGUUGAAACUGGCAGUCUCGAGUUGGAGAGAAGUAUGCGGAAUGCGCGGUGUAGCGGUGAAAUGCAGAGAUAUCGCGCAGAACUCCGAUUGCGAAGGCAGCAUGCCGGCUCCACACUGACGCUGAGGCACGAAAGCGUGGGUAUCGAACAGGAUUAGAUACCCCAGUAGUC
rnacentral:rRNA from 1 species